CUCGGGGUCGUCCGGAAGGGUGCACUCCACGAUGAAGUCGGCGAGUAUCUGAGCUUUGAUAGCCGGCCUGGGCCGAUAUUCGAGGUCGAAUUCCCCGAGCUCGACCGCCCAUUUGGCGAUCCUCCCCGCACGAUCCGACCUCUGCAAUAUUUGCUUCAUAGGCUGGUCGGUCAGUAUAGCUAUCGUGUGGGCUUGGAAGUAAGGCCUGAGUCUCCGAACCGAGAUGAUGAGAGCGAAG
rnacentral:lncRNA from 1 species